rnacentral:rRNA from 1 species
GGUCGUCAUGUCUAGUAUAAGCACAUUAUACGGUGAAACUGCGAAUGGCUCAUUAAAUCAGUUAUCGUUUAUUUGAUAGUGCCUUACUACAUGGAUACCUGUGGUAAUUCUAGAGCUAAUACAUGCUGAAAACCCCGACUUCGGGAGGGGUGUAUUUAUUAGAUAAAAAACCAACGCCCUUCGGGGCUCCUUGGUGAAUCAUGAUAACUUAACGAAUCGCAUGGCCUUGCGCCGGCGAUGGUUCAUUCAAAUUUCUGCCCUAUCAACUUUCGAUGGUAGGAUAGUGGCCUACCAUGGUGGCAACGGGUAACGGGGAAUUAGGGUUCGAUUCCGGAGAGGGAGCCUGAGAAACGGCUACCACAUCCAAGGAAGGCAGCAGGCGCGCAAAUUACCCAAUCCCGACACGGGGAGGUAGUGACAAUAAAUACUGAUACGGGGCUCUUUUGGGUCUCGUAAUUGGAAUGAGAGCAAUUUAAACCCCUCAACGAGGAACAAUUGGAGGGCAAGUCUGGUGCCAGCAGCCGCGGUAAUUCCAGCUCCAAUAGCGUAUAUUAAAGUUGUUGCAGUUAAAAAGCUCGUAGUUGAACCUUGGGCCUGGCUGGCCGGUCCGCCUCACCGCGAGUACUGGUCCGGCUGGGCCUUUCCUUCUGGGGAACCUCAUGGCCUUCACUGGCUGUGGGGGGAACCAGGACUUUUACUGUGAAAAAAUUAGAGUGUUCAAAGCAGGCCUUUGCUCGAAUACAUUAGCAUGGAAUAAUAGAAUAGGACGUGCGGUUCUAUUUUGUUGGUUUCUAGGACCGCCGUAAUGAUUAAUAGGGAUAGUCGGGGGCGUCAGUAUUCAGCUGUCAGAGGUGAAAUUCUUGGAUUUGCUGAAGACUAACUACUGCGAAAGCAUUCGCCAAGGAUGUUUUCAUUAAUCAGGGAACGAAAGUUAGGGGAUCGAAGACGAUCAGAUACCGUCGUAGUCUUAACCAUAAACUAUGCCGACUAGGGAUCGGACGGCGUUACUAUAAUGACCCGUUCGGCACCUUACGAGAAAUCAAAGUUUUUGGGUUCUGGGGGGGAAUAUGGUCGCAAGGCUGAAACUUUA